rnacentral:rRNA from 1 species
AACUUUCAACAACGGAUCUCUUGGUUCUGGCAUCGAUGAAAAACGCAGCAAAAUGCGAUAAGUAAUGUGAAUUGCAGAAUUCAGUGAAUCAUCGAAUCUUUGAACGCACAUUGCGCCCCUUGGUAUUCCGAGGGGCAUGCCUGUUCGAGCGUCW